rnacentral:rRNA from 1 species
GAUGAACGCUGGCGGCGUGCCUAAUACAUGCAAGUCGAGCGAACAGAUAAGGAGCUUGCUCCUUUGACGUUAGCGGCGGACGGGUGAGUAACACGUGGGUAACCUACCUAUAAGACUGGGAUAACUUCGGGAAACCGGAGCUAAUACCGGAUAACAUUUGGAACCGCAUGGUUCUAAAGUGAAAGAUGGUUUUGCUAUCACUUAUAGAUGGACCCGGGCCGUAUUAGCUAGUUGGUAAGGUAACGGCUUACCAAGGCGACGAUACGUAGCCGACCUGAGAGGGUGAUCGGCCACACUGGAACUGAGACACGGUCCAGACUCCUACGGGAGGCAGCAGUAGGGAAUCUUCCGCAAUGGGCGAAAGCCUGACGGAGCAACGCCGCGUGAGUGAUGAAGGGUUUCGGAUCGUAAAACUCUGUUAGUAGGGAAGAACAAAUGUGUAAGUAACUGUGCACGUCUUGACGGUACCUAAUCAGAAAGCCACGGCUAACUACGUG